UACAGAGGGUGCGAGCGUUAAUCGGAAUUACUGGGCGUAAAGCGUGCGUAGACGGUAGCGUAAGUCAGAUGUGAAAGCCCCGGGCUCAACCUGGGAACUGCAUUUGAGACUGCUCUGCUCGGGUGCGGAAGAGGGAAGCGGAAUUUCCGGUGUAGCGGUGAAAUGCGUAGAUAUCGGAAGGAACACCAAUGGCGAAGGCAGCUCGCUGGGACGGUACUGACGCUGAGACGCGAAAGCGUGGGGAGCAAACAGG
rnacentral:rRNA from 1 species